CCUACGGGUGGCUGCAGUGAGGAAUAUUGGUCAAUGGCCGCAGGGCUGAACCAGCCAAGUCGCGUGAGGGAUGACGGUCCUAUGGAUUGUAAACCUCUUUUGUCGGGGAGCAAAAGACGCCACGCGUGGCGUUCCGAGAGUACCCGAAGAAAAAGCAUCGGCUAACUCCGUGCCAGCAGCCGCGGUAAUACGGAGGAUGCGAGCGUUAUCCGGAUUUAUUGGGUUUAAAGGGUGCGCAGGCGGAGGUGCAAGUCAGCGGUCAAAUUGCGGGGCUCAACCCCGUACUGCCGUUGAAACUGCAUCCCUUGAGUGCGCGAGAAGUAUGCGGAAUGCGUGGUGUAGCGGUGAAAUGCAUAGAUAUCACGCAGAACUCCGAUUGCGAAGGCAGCGUACCGGCGCCCAACUGACGCUGAAGCACGAAGGCGUGGGUAUCGAACAGGAUUAGAUACCCGGGUAGUC
rnacentral:rRNA from 1 species